rnacentral:piRNA from 1 species
UUAAAGAGAAGAACGAUUAAA